ensembl:snoRNA
AAGGGCCCAAAUCAAGUCUGACCGCUUGUGGUAGGGGUUCAGAUCCUAACAGGGCCAACAUUAACAUCUUCCCAUGGUCUGUUGGUUUUCUCUAUAUUAACAAAGGGGAUAGUCAAUUCAGUUGGAAGGAACAAAC